GCCGAGCGCGCGUCGACACUUGGAUCCGAGCGAUUUUCUCAAAUUGCGCAGCUGCCCCCACUAAGUUCCACCUCUCCGAACCAACACCAUGCAGAGGGAUAUUUAAGAGCACCGCAAGCGACGAUCGGACAGUCCUGAACGACCUUUCUGGGCUCCAUAACCAGCCAAGCGAAGUGAGCGAGGCAGGCCGACCUGAGUCGCGACGUGCACCGUAUUGACGUGAUUCGCAAACUUAGGCAGGCCAACUCGAGACGCAAGGUGUACCGAAGUGAGACGCCCAUCCGGAGGAGGACUUCUCUGGGACAAAAUAGAAAAUUAAAUUAUUAUUUUGACUUAUUUUGUACAUAAUUUAGAAUUAAUAGAUUUGCUUUGCUUUCAA